AGCCUGAUGCAGCCAUGCCGCGUGAAUGAUGAAGGCCUUAGGGUUGUAAAAUUCUUUCGCUAGGGAUGAUAAUGACAGUACCUAGUAAAGAAGCCCCGGCUAACUUCGUGCCAGCAGCCGCGGUAAUACGAAGGGGGCUAGCGUUGUUCGGAAUUACUGGGCGUAAAGCGCACGUAGGCGGACUUUUAAGUCAGAUGUGAAAUCCCGGGGCUCAACCUCGGAACUGCAUUUGAAACUGGAAGUCUAGAGACCAGGAGAGGUUAGCGGAAUACCGAGUGUAGAGGUGAAAUUCGUAGAUAUUCGGUGGAACACCAGUGGCGAAGGCGGCUAACUGGACUGGUACUGACGCUGAGGUGCGAAAGUGUGGGGAGCAAACAGGAUUAGAUACCCUGGUAGUCCACACCGUAAACGAUGAGAGCUAGUUGUUGGCAGGCAUGCCUGUCGGUGACGCAGCUAACGCAUUAAGCUCUCCGCCUG
rnacentral:rRNA from 1 species